UACGUGAAACCGUUCAGGGGUAAACCUGAGAAACCCGAAAGGUCGAAGGGGGAGAUUCAUCGCGUUUCAUGUGUUGGCGUCAGAUGGAUGUGUGACAAUUGGCGUACACGUCUAAUUGCACCUUUUAUUUGACAAUGCUAACAUUGAACGUGUGCACUUCUCCCCUGGUAGGACGUCGCGAUCUGUUGGGUGUCGGUCUAAGGCUUGCGGUGGAGCCCGUUGGCAGUGAUUCGUUGCUGCUUGCGGACCCGCAAUGUUUCCCGGCCGGCUCGCUCGACAGUGUACAGAUGGCGCAGAGCCGCGAUUUUCGCGUUCGGCCUAUGGCAAGCAUGCUUGGUUGUGUUGGUGAUCGGACCUAGUGCCGGUCCCAGCCUCCGGUGGCUGUUAGUCGUAGUGUUCUCGAACAGACUCUGUUAAUAUAGCCGAUCUGCGACGCUAUUGCUUUGGGUACUUUCAGGACCCGUCUUGAAACACGGACCAAGGAGUCUAGCAUGUGCGCGAGUCAUUGGGACAUAACUAAACCUAAAGGCGUAAUGAAAGUAAAGGUUCGUCUUGCGCGAACUAAGGGAAGAUGGGUGUUGCAAAGUCGAUGCCCCGCAUUCCCGGGGCGUCUCAUUCUCAUUGCGAGAAGAGGCGCACCAAGAGCGUACAUGCUGGGACCCGAAAGAUGGUGAACUAUGCCUGGUCAGGACGAAGUCAGGGGAAAGCCCUGAUGGAGGUCCGUAGCGAUUCUGACGUGCAAAUCGAUCGUCGGAACUGGGUAUAGGGGCGAAAGACUAAUCGAACCAUC
rnacentral:rRNA from 1 species